rnacentral:tRNA from 1 species
AAUUUGGGUAGUUUAAAAAACAUUACACUUUCAUUGUAAAAUUAGAAAAAUAUUUCUCUCAAAUAU